rnacentral:rRNA from 1 species
UUAAGCGACUAAGCGUACACGGUGGAUGCCCUGGCAGUCAGAGGCGAUGAAGGACGUGCUAAUCUGCGAUAAGCGUCGGUAAGGUGAUAUGAACCGUUAUAACCGGCGAUUUCCGAAUGGGGAAACCCAGUGUGAUUCGUCACACUAUCAUUAACUGAAUCCAUAGGUUAAUGAGGCGAACCGGGGGAACUGAAACAUCUAAGUACCCCGAGGAAAAGAAAUCAACCGAGAUUCCCCCAGUAGCGGCGAGCGAACGGGGAGCAGCCCAGAGCCUGAAUCAGUGUGUGUGUUAGUGGAAGCGUCUGGAAAGGCGUGCGAUACAGGGUGACAGCCCCGUACACAAAAAUGCACAUACUGUGAGCUCGAUGAGUAGGGCGGGACACGUGGUAUCCNNNNGUCUGAAUAUGGGGGGACCAUCCUCCAAGGCUAAAUACUCCUGACUGACCGAUAGUGAACCAGUACCGUGAGGGAAAGGCGAAAAGAACCCCGGCGAGGGGAGUGAAAAAGAACCUGAAACCGUGUACGUACAAGCAGUGGGAGCACGCUUAGGCGUGUGACUGCGUACCUUUUGUAUAAUGGGUCAGCGACUUAUAUUCUGUAGCAAGGUUAACCGAAUAGGGGAGCCGAAGGGAAACCGAGUCUUAACUGGGCGUUAAGUUGCAGGGUAUAGACCCGAAACCCGGUGAUCUAGCCAUGGGCAGGUUGAAGGUUGGGUAACACUAACUGGAGGACCGAACCGACUAAUGUUGAAAAAUUAGCGGAUGACUUGUGGCUGGGGGUGAAAGGCCAAUCAAACCGGGAGAUAGCUGGUUCUCCCCGAAAGCUAUUUAGGUAGCGCCUCGUGAAUUCAUCUCCGGGGGUAGAGCACUGUUUCGGCAAGGGGGUCAUCCCGACUUACCAACCCGAUGCAAACUGCGAAUACCGGAGAAUGUUAUCACGGGAGACACACGGCGGGUGCUAACGUCCGUCGUGAAGAGGGAAACAACCCAGACCGCCAGCUAAGGUCCCAAAGUCAUGGUUAAGUGGGAAACGAUGUGGGAAGGCCCAGACAGCCAGGAUGUUGGCUUAGAAGCAGCCAUCAUUUAAAGAAAGCGUAAUAGCUCACUGGUCGAGUCGGCCUGCGCGGAAGAUGUAACGGGGCUAAACCAUGCACCGAAGCUGCGGCAGCGACGCUUAUGCGUUGUUGGGUAGGGGAGCGUUCUGUAAGCCUGUGAAGGUGUGCUGUGAGGUAUGCUGGAGGUAUCAGAAGUGCGAAUGCUGACAUAAGUAACGAUAAAGCGGGUGAAAAGCCCGCUCGCCGGAAGACCAAGGGUUCCUGUCCAACGUUAAUCGGGGCAGGGUGAGUCGACCCCUAAGGCGAGGCCGAAAGGCGUAGUCGAUGGGAAACAGGUUAAUAUUCCUGUACUUGGUGUUACUGCGAAGGGGGGACGGAGAAGGCUAUGUUGGCCGGGCGACGGUUGUCCCGGUUUAAGCGUGUAGGCUGGUUUUCCAGGCAAAUCCGGAAAAUCAAGGCCGAGGCGUGAUGACGAGGCACUACGGUGCUGAAGCAACAAAUGCCCUGCUUCCAGGAAAAGCCUCUAAGCAUCAGGUAACAUCAAAUCGUACCCCAAACCGACACAGGUGGUCAGGUAGAGAAUACCAAGGCGCUUGAGAGAACUCGGGUGAAGGAACUAGGCAAAAUGGUGCCGUAACUUCGGGAGAAGGCACGCUGAUACGUAGGUGAAGCGACUUGCUCGUGGAGCUGAAAUCAGUCGAAGAUACCAGCUGGCUGCAACUGUUUAUUAAAAACACAGCACUGUGCAAACACGAAAGUGGACGUAUACGGUGUGACGCCUGCCCGGUGCCGGAAGGUUAAUUGAUGGGGUUAGCGCAAGCGAAGCUCUUGAUCGAAGCCCCGGUAAACGGCGGCCGUAACUAUAACGGUCCUAAGGUAGCGAAAUUCCUUGUCGGGUAAGUUCCGACCUGCACGAAUGGCGUAAUGAUGGCCAGGCUGUCUCCACCCGAGACUCAGUGAAAUUGAACUCGCUGUGAAGAUGCAGUGUACCCGCGGCAAGACGGAAAGACCCCGUGAACCUUUACUAUAGCUUGACACUGAACAUUGAGCCUUGAUGUGUAGGAUAGGUGGGAGGCUUUGAAGUGUGGACGCCAGUCUGCAUGGAGCCGACCUUGAAAUACCACCCUUUAAUGUUUGAUGUUCUAACGUGGACCCGUGAUCCGGGUUGCGGACAGUGUCUGGUGGGUAGUUUGACUGGGGCGGUCUCCUCCUAAAGAGUAACGGAGGAGCACGAAGGUUGGCUAAUCCUGGUCGGACAUCAGGAGGUUAGUGCAAUGGCAUAAGCCAGCUUGACUGCGAGCGUGACGGCGCGAGCAGGUGCGAAAGCAGGUCAUAGUGAUCCGGUGGUUCUGAAUGGAAGGGCCAUCGCUCAACGGAUAAAAGGUACUCCGGGGAUAACAGGCUGAUACCGCCCAAGAGUUCAUAUCGACGGCGGUGUUUGGCACCUCGAUGUCGGCUCAUCACAUCCUGGGGCUGAAGUAGGUCCCAAGGGUAUGGCUGUUCGCCAUUUAAAGUGGUACGCGAGCUGGGUUUAGAACGUCGUGAGACAGUUCGGUCCCUAUCUGCCGUGGGCGCUGGAGAACUGAGGGGGGCUGCUCCUAGUACGAGAGGACCGGAGUGGACGCAUCACUGGUGUUCGGGUUGUCAUGCCAAUGGCACUGCCCGGUAGCUAAAUGCGGAAGAGAUAAGUGCUGAAAGCAUCUAAGCACGAAACUUGCCCCGAGAUGAGUUCUCCCUGACCCUUUAAGGGUCCUGAAGGAACGUUGAAGACGACGACGUUGAUAGGCCGGGUGUGUAAGCGCAGCGAUGCGUUGAGCUAACCGGUACUAAUGAACCGUGAGGCUUAACCUU